rnacentral:rRNA from 1 species
UACGAAGGGGGCUAGCGUUGCUCGGAAUCACUGGGCGUAAAGCGCACGUAGGCGGAUUGUUAAGUCAGGAGUGAAAUCCUGGAGCUCAACUCCAGAACUGCCUUUGAUACUGGCGAUCUCGAGUCCGGGAGAGGUGAGUGGAACUGCGAGUGUAGAGGUGAAAUUCGUAGAUAUUCGCAAGAACACCAGUGGCGAAGGCGGCUUCCUGGUCCAGCACCGACGUCAGGCACGAAAGCGUGGGGAGCAAACAGGG